GGAAGCGAACGGGGCCCGGUGGCCCUCCCGGUCUUCAAAACCGGUCGCUGCCCGCGUUUCGCGGGCGGGCUGGGUUCGACUCCCAGGCGCUUCCGCCA
rnacentral:tRNA from 1 species